AUUGGCCAAAAAUUGUAUCAUGUAUUCCUUCUAAACCAAUCAGAAAGAAGGGUGGAAUGAUCACCACUGGCUUAGACUCACAACCUAGACUGCACAUUAGCAUCACUUGGAGUGUUUUCAAUAACUGUCAAGUGACACCAGUCAAACCAGAAUGUCUGGAGGUGGCCACCGGGACUUGGUAUUUUCUUGGAGCUCCCAGUAGAGUCUGAGUGGUGGUGAGGGCUAAGAACUAGUGAAUGUCUAAUGCUUAGACAAAACAAGAUGCAUCCCUUUGUGUGAGAGAGAGAGACCUAGCCCUUCUUUAGACACCUGGUUGCCUGGUAACUAGACAAAGCCAGAUUCUGUCAUCAGGGAAGGAGGGAGAGAUGACAGCUGUGACUGACACACACCACGGACACAGAAGAGAAUUCUCGCUUGAAGUCACCAUCAGUAGUCUGCAUAAUCAUUGGACACUAAAGAAAAGAAAUCCCUUGUUGUCUACUUAGGCUCAGAGCUCCUUAGACACCAAGAAGCAAGUUAGUCAAGAUGAGAGAGGACCAAGCUCAUGGAUUCCAAUGAUGAAACAGGAAAUUCAUUCAUGGGUUUCUGGCAUGCCUCCAAACUGAAAAUUUAGCCACAAAUAAGAUUGCAGUGGAGGUUGGGCUCAUGCAUGGGAAAUGUCAGCAUCACACCGAAGGGCCAUUUCCCUAGUUUUCCCCAGAACUAAUGCUUUGGAGAUAUUUGGAGCAGACCGGAUGCUUAGGUUUACAAACAUGAGUUAAUGGAAGAGGACAAAACUUUGGAAAACACACUAACUCCUGUCCUUUGGGAGGUUUGAGCCAGAGCACUAUUUAAUCUCCAACACUACAAGUCAGACUUUUCCUGUGUAGCGUUGGUACUGGAAGAUGCCAGAGCUUGCCAAGACCAAGGAAAUCCCAUCAUUUUUAGAAGUUUUGCUUUGUUAAUUGCUCUUUCUACUAAUAAAAGUCAAAGAAAAAAGAUGGUCAA